ensembl:lncRNA
CUCAAAGAACUGUGACCAGAAACAGUGGGACUGAGAGGGAGCUGCUGGCUGAGCCCUGCCAAGAUGAAGCGGUUUAGAGCGAAAUUCCAGAGGACAGAAGUUGCCAGAAGCCUGACCUGGGGUUAAGUGCUAUGCUACUGGAUAUCUGCCUGGAAUCAGGCCAGGCCUCAAAAUCCCCUGUCCCCACACCAACUCCCUGGCUCAGACAGCUCUGAGUGACAGUAAAUUGGGAAGAAUAACCAAGAAUAAACAUGAAGCUGUGCCAGAUUCUUCUUUCAGAGAGCAAAGUGCCCAAUACAAUACUGUAGAGCAAUUAUCCUUCAAUUAAAAACAAAUAGAUUGAAAAAAAUAAGAAAGGGAAGUGCCAACAAAGUGGGGGUAACAUGGGCUUGGGGAAUCUGCUCUAACCUGCAACUGAGGAACAUUUCUGCCUUUUCCUCAAAACUGUGGAAUGCUGAGGAAAUUAAAAAGGUGAUAUCUUGACCUUAGGCAGAUCCAGAGAGAAACCAGAUGAUAUAAAAAAAAAUGUACUGAUCAAUUUUUAAGCCUGUGAUACCUUAUUGCAUUCCAGUCCCAAAGUAAGGCAAUUCCAAAGAAUGUUCAAACUACCACACAAUUGCACUCAUCUCACACGCUAGCAAAGUAAUGCUAAAAAUUUUCCAAGCUAGGCUUCAACAGUACAUGAACCGAGAACUUCCAGAUGUUCAAGCAGAAUGUAGAAAAGGCAGAGGAACUGGAGAUCAAAUUGCCAACGUCUGUUUGAUCAUAGAAAAAGCAAGAGAGUUCCAGAAAAACAUCUACUUCUGCUUUAUUGACUAUGCUAAAGCCUUUGACUGUGUGGAUCACAACAAACUGUGGAAAAUUCUUCAAGAGAUGGGAAUACCAGACCACUUGACCUGCCUCCUGAGAAACCUAUAUGAAGGUCAAGAAGCAAUAGUUAGAACCACACAUGGAACAACAGGCUGGUUCCAAAUUGGGAAAAGAGUAUGUCAAGGCUGUAUAUUGUCACCUGCUUAUUUAACUUAUAUGCAGAGUAUAUAAGGCAAAAUGCCAGGCUGGAUGAAUCACAAGCUGGAAUCAAAAUUGCU